CUCAGGUUGAGAGAUAGCUCAGACUGUAUAGCAUGAGACUUUUAAUCUCAGGGUUGUGGGAUUGAGCCCCAUAUUGGGUGAGA